rnacentral:rRNA from 1 species
AUUGAACGCUGGCGGCAGGCCUAACACAUGCAAGUCGAACGAGUGGCGGACGGGUAAGUAAUGUCUGGGAAACUGCCUGAUGGAGGGGGAUAACUACUGGAAAAGGUAGCUAAUAACGCAUACCAUCAGAUGUGGCCAGAUGGGAUUAGGUUGUUGGUGGGGUAACGGCUCACCAAGGCGACGAUCCCUAGCUGGUCUGAGAGGAUGACCAGCCAACCGGGAAUGGAGACACGGUCCAGAUUCCUAGGGGAGGCAGCAGUGGGGAAUAUUGGACCAUGGGCGCAAGCCUGAUGCAGCCCUGCCGCGUGGAUGAAGCAGGCCUUCGGGUUGUAAAGUACGUUCAGCGGGGAGGCGUUACCCGCAGAAGAAGCACCGGCUAACUCCGUGCCAGCAGCCGCGGUAAUUC